GACGAACGCUGGCGGCGUGCUUAACACAUGCAAGUCGAACGGAAAGGCCCUGCUUUUGUGGGGUGCUCGAGUGGCGAACGGGUGAGUAACACGUGAGUAACCUGCCCUUGACUUUGGGAUAACUUCAGGAAACAGGGGCUAAUACCGGAUAGGAGCUCCUGCUGCAUGGUGGGGGUUGGAAAGUUUCGGCGGUUGGGGAUGGACUCGCGGCUUAUCAGCUUGUUGGUGGGGUAGUGGCUUACCAAGGCUUUGACGGGUAGCCGGCCUGAGAGGGUGACCGGCCACAUUGGGACUGAGAUACGGCCCAGACUCCUACGGGAGGCAGCAGUGGGGAAUAUUGCACAAUGGGCGGAAGCCUGAUGCAGCAACUCCGCGUGCGGGAUGACGGCCUUCGGGUUGUAAACCGCUUUCGCCUGUGACGAAGCGUGAGUGACGGUAAUGGGUAAAGAAGCACCGGCUAACUACGUG
rnacentral:rRNA from 1 species